AAUAGAUACCCAGGUAGUCCACGCCGUAAACGAUGUCGACUUGGAGGUUGUGCCCUUGAGGCGUGGCUUCCGGAGCUAACGCGUUAAGUCGACCGCCUGGGGAGUACGGCCGCAAGGUUAAAACUCAAAUGAAUUGACGGGGGCCCGCACAAGCGGUGGGGCAUGUGGUUUAAUUCGAUGCAACGCGAAGAACCUUACCUACUCUUGACAUCCAGAGAACUUAGCAGAGAUGCUUUGGUGCCUUCGGGAACUCUGAGACAGGUGCUGCAUGGCUGUCGUCAGCUCGUGUUGUGAAAUGUUGGGUUAAGUCCCGCAACGAGCGCAACCCUUAUCCUUUGUUGCCAGCGGUUAGGCCGGGAACUCAAAGGAGACUGCCAGUGAUAAACUGGAGGAAGGUGGGGAUGACGUCAAGUCAUCAUGGCCCUUACGAGUAGGGCUACACACGUGCUACAAUGGCAUAUACAAAGAGAAGCGACCUCGCGAGAGCAAGCGGACCUCAUAAAGUAUGUCGUAGUCCGGA
rnacentral:rRNA from 1 species